rnacentral:rRNA from 1 species
UACGAAGGGGGCUAGCGUUGCUCGGAAUCACUGGGCGUAAAGCGCACGUAGGCGGGUCUUUAAGUCAGGGGUGAAAUCCUGGAGCUCAACUCCAGAACUGCCUUUGAUACUGAGGAUCUUGAGUCCGGGAGAGGUGAGUGGAACUGCGAGUGUAGAGGUGAAAUUCGUAGAUAUUCGCAAGAACACCAGUGGCGAAGGCGGCUCACUGGCCCGAUACUGACGCUGAGGCACGAAAGCGUGGGGAGCAAACAGG